AGAUUUCACACAUACACAAAUACACACUAAAUAUUAAUGCUGUAAAAGUUCUAAAUGUGCUUUCUUCUUUCUAGACUUGUGAAUUUUUCCUAUUUGAUUUUUUCAGAAAAGAACAUAAUUAGCCCAGUUGGGCUUGAACUUACAUUCAUCCUGUCUCAGCCUUUGUAGCUUUGGGAUUAUAGGUCAUUGUUUCUCAGACUAGAUGCUGAGUCCAGUGAGACUCUGAAGAUAUCAUGAGUGUUCUUGGAGAUCAGAGCAGACGAGAUCCAACAGAGGUGGGCUCCAGAAGAUCAGCUCUGACACAAGAAAACUUCAGCCUUACCGGUGUGAAAGGGAGAUGCCAGAGUUAAGAGCCCCAGAGGUACCAGUAAGGUACAGGGGGACUUUGGAAGCAAGAAAUCCACCUUUACCUGACAGGGCCCCAUGCAGCUCGGAACCUGUAAGCUGAUGUACCAACCCUGAGCGCACCCCCUUGGACACUGUCUACAACAGUGCAACACCACUUGCAACACCACUACCAGCUCCGUCGCCAAAAAGUUCUCCACCACUAGCAGCAGAUUCACCUAUGACUGAAGAAGCUGGGAGAUGGGAAUUACUUCCUGAGUACACUGUGCUAUGUCAAGGGAAGGAAAUCUGGUUUUCCUGGACACUGUUGUGUGCUGUAUGCUUGACCUUCCAUUGGCUGAAAAGGCCCAGUUUUUGUUCUGUGAAGCAACUUCACCAAAAUCUGCAUGUUUUAUCUCCUACUUCUGUGAAGACUGACCUGGAAGUUCAAAAAUAGCCCACAUUUUCCACAUGCAAGACUCAGCUUGAUGAUCUCACAAGACUACCUUUAUUUGUUUUGAAUUUAAAAUAAUCAGAAAGUAUACAUUCAGAUGAAUCACAGAACCAUGCAUGUCUGAUCUAGAAAGCGAAGUCUCAAGGUCACCUACUCGAGACCUUGCUUUCAUCACUGCCAUCUGGUCUUAUUUGUACUGAAGAUAUUAAUAGUGUUGACAUCCAAUGAUGACUUUUACUUUUGAAUUUAGGAUGUCCCUUUUAUUUAUGGAAAAACUAGACAGAAAAAGCAUACCAAGUUUCUCAGGACUUAAAGAAUGUUGAAGAGUAAUCUAAAAUUUGCCCUUCUGCGUGAGUUUUAUAAAGUAUCUAUUGAAGGUGAAAUGGUCAUGUUUUGAGGCACCAUCUUCUCUGAUAAAAUCCAUCCAUUCCAGAUGAAGGCAGUAAUGUUCUGUGGAGAUAGUCAAGAUGUCUCCUGGACUGCUGAGGCAGGAUUUUCUGUUACUUUUUAUACUAAUUCUACAAGUGUUGGCUUUCUUUAUAAAUUAUAGGAAUAAUGUUUUAAUAUUCCUUCAGAUAGGAAAGAGAAAGGAAAAAGGAGAAGUAGAGAGGGAGAGAGAGAGAUUGAUUUUAUAUUUUAAUGUACUCUACUGAAUAGGAAACUAUGCAGAUAUGGUUUCAAAUUUCUCUUAACACUGAUUGCAUUUUAGUUUUCAAUUAAAUUUAAUAGCAACAAUUGUUUGGGGUUAAAUUGUCAUAAAAGUAUACCACAAAAAUUCAAAUGAAUAGUAAGAAUUUUCUAAUUGAGGAUAAUCUUGUGUUUAAAAGAUGAAGUCAAGAAUGAGACCUAACAUUCCCCUUUCUAAGGUUACAUAUAUAUUUCAGAUAAAAUGGCCAUUACCUGCUCUGGCAGACAAGAAGAGAAGCAUCCUCUUUAUGUGGGGAAUGUGGUCUGACUUUUGCAUUUAGAAAAUGUCCAGGGGAAUCUGAAUGAGUUCCUUUAGGAACCAGGUUCCACCCAAUAGUUUUCCUCUCUUUUCCUUAUUUGUGGUUAUCAUCUUGGUAAGUGUCAGAGCUCCAGGAUUUAUACUACAGGAAGCAGCAAGAUGAAGGAGGGAUGAAAUGUUUCCUUUAUAGACAACUCUAGAAGGGGAUAACUUCACUUUUUAUUAUAAUCUUGUGCAUAAACAUUAGUCACUUGGUAAUAACUAAGGCAAAGUGGCUGGGAAAGUUAGUUCAUAUUCUGAGCAGUCAGAUGCUCAGCAGAAACCAAGGGUUCUACUCCUAAAAGGACACAGAGAGAAUCGAUAUGGGGGAAUAAUUAGCAGUCUCCUUGAUAUUAUUUGAUAGUAGUAUCCCUUGGGAACUUUAAAAAUACAUAAUCCUGGGCUACAAUCCUGAAAAUUUUGAUCCAGUGGUUCUGGUUUUGACCCAUUGGCAAAAUGAUUCCCACUUUGUAUCUUAUUGAUAAGGUAAAUCACCAGAAAUUUACAUUCCAGUAAAAUUUGCUUUUGUAGAAAAUCUAUUCCUUCAGCUUUCAAAGGGAGAGAUAUAUAACAAAUUGAUAUAUAUGAGGCAUCUUUGCACUUUUUUCUAUUGAGAACUUUCAUUAAAGAUAUUAUACACUAUAAUGUUCAGUCCUUGUAACUGAUUUCUUUUAACAUUCAGACCUAGGUAAACAUGUUUAAAUUAUACUCUAGAAUUUUUUCACUAGAAAAUUGAAAACAUGUAAUACACUGAAAUUUUCUCUUUGCCUGAGCUAGAAAGCAAAGAACUUUAUGUUCUGGCACUGCAGCUUUUCUUAGAAUUUGUGCAGAGGAUUUAUUCUAUUUCCUGAUCUUAAAUAUAUGAAAUAUUGUUGGACUUUGAUCUUUCCAUUUAUAUGCAUCUUUUAUAGGUUUCCUUAAAUUCAAAUUAGAUUUAUAUGAGACAUAAAAUAAUAAAACAGGAAUUUCUAACCUUUGUGUGUAUAGAAUAUAUGGUGAAACUGACAAUAAUAUUUAAUUUUUGAGUAAUUCAUUUGUGAGAACUAUGCUAUAAGCAUUUUAUAACAUCAACCUACAUAUCACCAAUCUGUGUAGUCCACAUAAAUCUUCAUCCCAAAGUGAUUUAGUUUUAGUGUAACAUAUGCAGAAACAUAGUCCAGUCUAACAAAUGUAAUUAAAAACAAGACUCAAGCUUUGAGACACAACUAAUUAAAUAUAGCAGAAGAUCCCUAAUCUCCACUUUCCCUUCAAAUUUCUUGGAUCCUUUAGAACCCAGCAGUUGCAAAAUUUCCUAAACUCUCUCUGACACUCAGCCAAUUUUCUUCCCUUCUCUUUUGGUUUUCUUAUUCAACACCGUGUCCUCUGCUUUUUAAGAGAGGACAGAAUUAAUUUCCACUCUCACCUACUGUUAGUUUAGGCAACUCUAUGGUUCCUAUGCUUUCCCACUUCCCACAGAGGGAAUUGCCUGACUCCUGGAUACAUCGAUCUCCUCUCGAUGGAUUCUCAGGCUGGUCAUACUGUUGAGGUAUUCCCAUUUUUAAUAAGGCACUAAGGUUUUGCAAAAUUAAGCAACCUCUUCAAAGUGACCUGGCUAAGAAUGAAGAUAUUAAAGUACAGGGACACAACUUCAGAGUCUCUGUGCUUAAACUGUAUUCUCUUGUUGCACCUUAUGGCAAGAGAGGGUGGCAUUUCAAAUAUAUUUUCUAGAAACAGUGUUCAUCCUUUCAAACUACUUAUCAUGUUUGAUUUUAAUUGCUCAAUUUUGUCUUUCAUUGUAUGCAUUGUAAGUUCAGUGAGAUAGUUUUGUCUUAUUUAGUACUGAAUUUUCACCAUUAUAUGCACUUCUGGGUACAGAAUAAGCAAAAAAUAUGAAUUAAUAAUCUGAUGAUUAUAUUAAAAAGGGGUGCAGCUUCCCCUAUAACUGUGAUUUGUCAUUAAUAGAGUACUUAGCUCUAUAAUCUCAAGGCUUUUUCAGAAAUAAAGAGUAGUUACUUGCCACAAAAAUAUAAGACCACUGGUAUAUACUUAUGAGUUUUCUUUCUUUCUUGGCUCAUAAAUUGAUUUUGAAGGACAUUUAAAAAGGAUAGUUUAAAAAUGUUUUAAGCAGUGACAACACUGUAUAUGCCAUAAUGGUAAAAGCACAGCAUUUUAUAGGCAGAAAGUUAAAAUAUGGAUCCUAGCUCUGAACACUCUAGGGUAAGAACACUGAAUAAUUUAAAUUUCAAAUUUUUCACUUUAAACUGGGGAUACCACUUGCAAUGGAUGGUUUAUUUGUUGGUACCAAAGGUGGGCUAUUGUGUGCAAAAUGUUUUUGAAAAAUCUCAAUAUUUUAUCUGAAUUAUUACAUUUUUAAAUUGUUAAAAUGUCAUGAAUAAUAACUAUAUCAUCUUUGGAUACAUAAAUGUACAAUAGUGCCACAUUUUAAAACUAAAAGUCUCAAGAGAAAAGGAUAUAGGGGCUUCAACUUUCUUCAUCUAUUUUUGAACAAUAACUAUGGGUGUUAUCAAGUGCAUUUUUAGUGAUAAUAUCCUAAGUUUAAUGAUACAUUCCUCACACCACACACUUUAUGGAGUAGUAAUACACCUUGAUUUAUAUAUAAAUAUGACAGCAAUGCCAUUCUAUAGUAUUGUAAGUAUUUUAAAAAGUAAAAAAUUAUUUAUUUCAGUAAACAUUUAGCAAAAUAAAAAUCAGAUUCCAAUUCUCCAUCUUGUUAAGAAAUAAAAUUUGGAAAAUAAACAUCUUCAUUUUGAUAGAACUAAACAGUUAUAGAUCUUUCAUAGUUUUUUUCUGGUUUUAUCAAGGUUUUAAAAAUCAUAUUUUAAAGAGUGAGCAUAAUGAAACAUAAUUAAGUUCCACCAAAUAAACAAUGAGUGCACUUCAACAAUGUCAGUAAUUCAUAAUGUGUAUUAAAUAAAAUUGAGACUCAAGACAAUUACUUUUAAUUAGGUUACAGAAUAUGAGCUAUAGAGAAGUGGCAAGCCUCCAUAGUGUACCGGCAAUUAUUUGAAAAGGUCACUGGAAAACAAAUAUAUUAAGAUCCAAUAGGAGAAUAAACACAGGAGUUUCUAAAAUAUGAAUUUUGAUGAGCUCUAAUUUCACAGUGCUUUACUAUUUUUCAAAUAUGUUCCAAUAAUGUGUUUUCACCUUUAUCCUAUGUAUUGCUGUGAAAUAGGCAGGUUUGCCAUAACACUUAUGCAAAAACAUAAUGCAGAGGAUGGAUGAUACCCUUGCACUUACUUUCAAAACUUAGUCAUCACCAAAAAUGUAUUUUGCUAGCAUAAUAUACAUUGAACUGGGACACAUGGCCAAGAAAACUAUCUUGCAAAUGUAUAUCAACUAAGUCACUGCCUUCUUGGGGUUUCCCUAUCACUUUUCUUAAGCUAAGGAUCUUCUUCUCAGGUUGUUUCAAAAUACAUUUUUUGUGGCUUUUCCUUCAUAUUCUUAGUUCUAAGAGCUCAUCUAAUUUAUUAUGCAUGUACUAACUGUAUAACUAUGAAAGCUUUAGGUACCAAUGCCUUUUUCAAGCAUCAUUUUUGUAAGAUAUGGACUCUCUAAGCUUUGAAGAAUUGAUUUGAUUAACCCUUUGAAAAGAAUUAGACCCACAUUUUGGAAUGAAGUACAAAAAUUGUAAAUCAUUAAGCACAAAUACAAAAAGACCAUAUAUAGAUAUAUCUUCUGUGUAACUUUUGGUGUAUUAUAAAUUAUCUCCUAAUUAGGUGUGAUCAAGACCAAUAUGUUUUUCCUGGUUCUAUUGAGGAACUUGUUGGAGGAGUGCAUUUUAUUUAGCAUCAUUUGCUCCUUCCUUUUCUGUGUCUUGCACCCAUUGUAUCUCAUGUGGUUCCAUGUCAUUUACAUUGGACAGGUAGAUUAGGGAACAUUUGUUUUAUUGCAACCAACAGAAAGAAAAUGACUGAGUAACUCAAGUAGAAAAUGGAGUCAUUGGAGGUUGCUACAUAUAAUUAAAAAAUAACUAAACAGUUGUGCUUCUGGGAGUCAGGGGCGAGGGGAAGAUCUGAGAUCUUAGUAACUGCUGUUCAUGGAGACACUUGGUCCCCAAAGGACUACAUGUCUUGUUUAAACUUCCGAUUCUCAGGAGAAAUGCAGGGAUUCAUCCAAUUUUGUUUCUAAUGUUCCUACUUCUGCAUCCAUCAUCCAGGGCCAAAAGUGUAAUGGAAUGGCACAAAUAUGGCAGGGUUGGUAUUGCUGGGAGCUAAGAUACACCUUAACUUUGUGUUUGUCACUGUUCUUCACUAUCAUCAGGUUGUUGAUAAGGUCAUUGGAAGGGUUUCUUUCCUUUACAUCAGUAAUUCUUUAAAUUUCAGAAUUUGAGCACCGAAUGCUUAUUAGGUUUUAUCAACAACUCAAUAUAUUUCUAUUUGUUAGUUUCUUGCUCAGAUUGCACAAUGCUGCAAUUAUGACUUUUGUCACCACUUAGGACAAACUGGUCCUUUUUGUACUUCUGGAGAAGGUGGACUCACUUUGCUUUUCAUGGAGAACAUAACUUUUGAGUUGAGGGCCAUCAAAAGAUUACUUUCAGGAGACAGUUCUUCUGACAGCUGUUCAUAUUCAGAUCAUGAUGGUAUCAACAAUGUGCAGAAAGCAGUUGGCCAUCUGAUGCCUCAGAUUCCUUCAUUAGAGUCAUUACCCAAGCUGCAGUGUGUAAGGUAAUUUUGAUUUGUGUAAGCCUAUGAGUUUAUUUGGGGUACUAAAAUGGCUUCUUAAUAUUAUGGAACCUUUUACUUCUUCCAGAGUCUAUCAAAUCUGAUCAUAUUGAUUAUAUUUUAAAUAUUUCCAUAAUUCUCUCUUUAAUACAUGGAGAUUAAAAACAAAAAUUACAGCAGAUAAUCUGAUACUGAAACUAUAUAUCUCUGGAACUUUCUUCAGCUGCUUUGUUUGCCCUGUAGUAGUUUACAGUUGAAUGAGAUUAAUAUCUUUUCUACUAUCAGAUUGUACAGAAUCUAAUUGUACACCUUUGUUGUUUCUGAUC
ensembl:lncRNA